GAAUAUUCCACUAUUUUUAAAAACCUGGGACAUAGUCUGUAAAACAGGUUAAAAAGUUACGGUUAAUAAGUGAUUCUCAGUCAGAUAAGACGUUUUUGCACCUACCUUCAUAGAACUGGGCGUACAGGGAGAUUCGGAAAAUCCGGAAUUGCCAUAAACAUGAUAGAUGAAAAAAGAACGUUGGAAAUGUUAAAAAAAAUUGAAAAUUGCUUCAAGCGCAAGAUCACCCGAUUGGAUGCGGAAGACGUAGACCAAAUCGAAAAACUCGAAGAGAAUUGAAUGCUCGGAUACGAAUUGUGCCGUAAAAUUUUGCAUAUUUUGUCCAAGUUUGUAAAGAAUUAUCAUUUAAAAUAUAGAAAUUUCCAUGUGUAAAAUAGAUAUGAAGGGUAAUCCCGAAGCUUUUUAUAUUAAGUUCACUUUUGUAAAUUCCGCGAGUUAGCAUUUUAUACACAUAAGCACAUUUUACGGAUUCUUCUGAUAUUAUAUUUCCAUGUUUGAUGUGACGAAAGCAUACCGAGUUUUAAUUUAUCAGUAAACAGAUAAUCUAAAAUAAUCAAUGUUAUCGUUCUAAUACCGUUUCUCGUGGAAAGGUCGCCUUACAGAUGCUGUAUAGUGUU